GUGGCUCAGUGGUAGAGCACUUGCUUGGCACGCAUGAGGCCCUGGAUUCGAUCCUCAGC
rnacentral:tRNA from 1 species